GAAGAGCCGAACCGUCAUGGAUCACGACUUCUGCUGAUGUUGCAUAUGUGCCCCGUGUUUGGCCCACAUGUCAGUUGGAUUAAAAGAGUGCCUUGUGUCAAAAUAAAACUGAAAACAGUACCGAUUCCUCAAACAAGCUAGACAAAAAAAAGCAAAUCGCUCAAAUCCUGAUCCCGUCGGCGGCCGGCGCCGCCGGCGCCGUCGACGAUUACCCGGGCGAGGGUACUUAGAUCGGACCAGGGUGCUUAGAUCUGGCGAGGGCAUCAUCUUAAAGAUCCCUUCUGAGCCCGGAUUGCCCUCGCGAACUGCGGAAGAGGCAGCCACCGUCCGCCAUUGCUGGGCCGGCGAGCCAACUGCCGCCCUCCAUUGCCGCGCUGAAGAUCAAGCCACCACCCGCCGUUGCUGCAGCAUACACUCCCCUGCCUCAACGCCGGCCUGCAGCGAGAUGGAUAGACGUUGGAUUCGUGGUACACUGUUCUGUCGUGAGUACAUUAAUGGUGUCAAAGAGUUUAUGAACCUCAUUCAAGAGAAAUUUAGUGAGGAUGAUAAAAUACUCUGCCCAUGUAGAGAAUGCCUUAAUCACAAAUACUGGCAUCAGGCCGUUGUGAACAAGCACAUAUUGACAAAUGGCAUGGAAACUACAUACACUCGUUGGAUAUAUCACGGAGAAGACUUCGAUGCAGAUGUUAUUGAACAUCCUGUUGAUGUGCAUGAGACCGAGGAUGGUAACAAUGGUGAUGACCGAUUUGAUGAGAUGUUUGGAGACCUAUGCAUAGCAGUACAACAAGGUCAGAAGGAAACUGAAGAUGAAGAUGGUAACAACGAUGCAAACCCUUCUGAGAAUGAGUCUUUUCUGGCGAACGUGAAGAAAGAGGCUAAGCGACACCUUUAUCAUGGUUGUACCAAGUUUUCAAGGUUCUCAUUUGUGGUGAAGCUUCUUCAUUUGAAGUCAUCCCAUAGGAUCACAAAUAGUGCAUUUACUGACAUAUUGAAGCUAUUGGCUGAAGCUUUCCCUCAACCAAAUACACUCCCAAAGUCGUAUGAGGAAGCAAAAAAUCUUCUGAAGGAAUUAGGCCUUGGGUAUGAGUCUAUACAUGUGUGCUUCAAUAACUGCGUUCUGUUCAGAAAGCAAUAUGCCAAGCAUGACAACUGCCCAGUUUGUGGCAUGUCAAGGUGGAAAGACCCUGCUAGAAAGAAGAUUCCACAGAAAGUUUUGAGGCAUUUCCCAUUGGUCCCUAGGCUGAAGAGGAUGUUCCUUUCCAGAAAAAUAGCAGAAGAAGCGCAGUGGCACAAGCUAAAGAGGUAGCCCAGCGAGAAGGAAAUGAGUCAUCCGGCCUACGGUGAUGCGUGGCAGGAUUUCGAUAAAAAAUAUAAAAAAAUUGCAGAAGAUGCCAGAAACAUGAGGCUUGGCAUUGCCACUGAUGGGUUCAAUCCUUUCGGAAACUUCAACACAAGCUAUAGUAUGUGGCCUGUAUUUGUUGUGCCAUACAACUUUCCACCUUGGGCAUGCAUGGAUCAGUCAAAUUUCAUGAUGGCUCUUCUAAUUCCAGGUCCCAAAUCACCUGGCAAGCACUUCGAUGUCUUUCUACAGCCACUUGUAGAAGAUUUACUUGAGCUUUGGAAGGGUGUGCGUACAUAUGAUGCUUAUAGCGGAAAAAUGUUUGAUCUUCAUGCUGCAGUUCUAUGGUGCAUUCACGAUCACCCAGCGCUGAGCACUCUUUCAGGGCGUACUACAAGAGGCUAUGCUGCAUGUAUUCAUUGUGACAAACACCCUCUUUCGUACGGCCUAAGGAGCAAAAAUGGAUAUAUUGGACACUACCGUUUUCUUCCAAAGGGACAUCGUUUGCGAAGAAACAAUGAAUUUGUUGGUCUUCAUGAACGCAAUGAUGAGCCGGGUAAAUUCUCCAAGGAAGAGCUGCAAGUAGAAUUCGAGAAGGUUAGACCCGGGCAACAACAAGAAAGUAGGAAAAGGUUCAUGUGCCAAUUUGGAGCCUGAGGGUUUGUUUGUGGGAUUUGGAGUAUUGGGGUGACUUGAAGCUGAGACAUAAUCUUGAUGUCAUGCACAUCGAGAAAAACAUAUGUGAAAACCUCAUUGGGACAAUUCUGGGCAUGGAGGGUAAGACAAAGGACACACUAAAUGCUAGGCUUGAUCUCCAGGAUUCGAAUAUUAAAGAGGAGCUGCAUUUGAGGAAGAAUGGAAACUCAUAUGAGAUGCCUCGGGCCCGAUAUACCUUGUCUAAAGAACAAGUUGUUGCAUUUUGUCAAUUUUUACGAGAGUUAAAGUUUCCAGAUGGGUUUGCUUCCAACAUUUCAAGAUGUACAAGUGCCGGCGGAACCAAGGUACAAGGCCUAAAAACACAUGAUUGUCAUAUUCUUUUGCAAAGAAUCUUACCCGCUGGCAUGAGAGGGUUUCUGGACAGUGAUAUAUAUGAAGCAAUAGCUGAGUUAGGCAAGUUUUUCAGGGAACUGUGCAGCAAAACUCUUAACAGGGAUGUGUUGGCUGGAAUGAAGAAAGAAAUCCCUGUAAUUCUGUGCAAGCUUGAGAACCCCCCCCCCCCCCCCCCCCCCCCCCGGCUUUCUUUGAUGUGAUGGUGCACCUUGCCAUACAUUUACCCGAAGAGGCUUUGCUCCGAACCCGUACAAUAUGGGUGGAUGUACCCAGUUGAAAGGAGAUUGUAUACUUUAAAGCGAUAUGUGAGGAAUAGGGCACGUCCAGAAGGUUCAAUUGCUGAGUCAUACAUUGCCGAUGAAUGCCUGACAUUUUGCUCCAAGUACAUGGAUGAUUCUGAAAUUAUAUUAAAUCGAGAAGCAAGAAAUAUAGGUUUCUCAGAUGAAGAAGCUUAUGGUGUUGAUGUUUUUGGGCAUGGAGUAAAUUUUACUUCAGGAUAUGAAUAUCAAUAUGUUAACGAGAAAAAAUAAUUUGAUCAGAUGAUGUGGUAUGUGUUGAACAAUUGUGGGCAAGCUCAGAAAUAUAUCGAAAUGUUCAGAGAUGGGUUAAACAGAAAAGGGGUGCCAAAUGUUGAUAAAGAGCUUCGGAAAGAAUUUCAGACAUGGUUCAAGAACUAUAUGAUGAGGCUGCGGAUGAGCAUAGUGAAGAGGUAGACGAAGAUGUCUUUGCCUUGGCAUGCGGUCCUGAUCGGAGAGUCAGGAAAUACUCAUCGUGCAUAGUGAAUGGCAUUAGAUAUAGCACUGUUGACCGUGAUAGCAACAAGAGAUUGCAGAACAGUGGAGUCAUGGCCGAAGGUGAACAUAACGGUCAGGUCAUAGAUUUUUAUGGAACCUUGAAAGAGAUCAUUCAGUUGGACUACAACUUGGAUGACAGGUCAGUUGUUCUGUUUAAAUGUGACUGGUUUAAACUUGAUGGCAAGAAUACUGGGCUACGAAAUGAUCGUUUUUUUAAAAGCAUCAAUGUUGGAAGUUUAUGGUACAAGGACGAUUCUCUCAUUCUGGCUACUCGGGCUACAAAGGUCUUUUAUUUGCCAGACACGAAGUAUGGGAAAAAUUGGCAAGUUGUGCAAACGUUUGAUCAUAGGCAUCUCUUCAAUAUUAGUGAAAAUGAGGGUGCACCUUUUGCUGGUCCUGCAUAUCAAGAGGAGGAGAGCUGUGAUGAGGCGAGGUAGGAGAACGUCGGUUUCUGACCUUACAUCUGAGAAGCCUUUGCAUAGAGACAAUGAGCAAGGCAUUAUUUUUGAAGCUGAUGUAGUUGCACGCUUGAUGAAAGAAAAAAGCACAGAAGUGUAUGAAGGUGGCAAUGAAGACGAAGAUGAUACAGGUCUGGAGUAUUGCAGCGAAGACGAAGGAGGUGGCAUGAUGGAUGUCGACAGCGAUGACGAGUAGAACUAACUGAUUUUGUGUCAGACUUCGGGGAAACUGACUUGCUGAAACAUACAGCAUGCCAUUUUUAUCAUCAUAGUAUGUUGUGUUUUUUUGUACUCUCGUGAUUAUGGAACAAUGUUGUUAGAAGAACUCACAGAGAGAUUUUCUGUUGGUCCUCGCUGGAUGUUGUUAUUCAGGGGCAAGUGUGUGCACUUUUGUGUUACUGAAAGAUAUUGCUAUAUUUGCCUACUGAUAUUUACUCUUGCCUAGUGCUGUUUACUGCAA